UUUCCGUAGGUGAACCUGCGGAAGGAUCAUUAUUGUAUAACCGAGGUGCGAGGGCUGUCGCUGACCCGACAGGUCGUGCACGCCCGAGUGCCCUCACACACAUCCAUCUCACCCCUAUGUGCACCACCGCGUGGGUCCCCCUUUGGCUUGUUCGGAGGGGGGCUUACGUUUUCACACAAACUUUGUAUGUAGUGUAGAAUGUAUUUUUUGUUUUUGCGAUCACGCAAUCAAUACAACUUUCAACAACGGAUCUCUUGGCUCUC
rnacentral:misc_RNA from 1 species